AGUGAACGCUGGCGGUAGGCCUAACACAUGCAAGUCGAACGGCAGCACAGUAAGAGCUUGCUCUUACGGGUGGCGAGUGGCGGACGGGUGAGGAAUACAUCGGAAUCUACUUUUUCGUGGGGGAUAACGUAGGGAAACUUACGCUGAUACCGCAUACGACCUACGGGUGAAAGCAGGGGAUCUUCGGACCUUGCGCGAUUGAAUGAGCCGAUGUCGGAUUAGCUAGUUGGCGGGGUAAAGGCCCACCAAGGCGACGAUCCGUAGCUGGUCUGAGAGGAUGAUCAGCCACACUGGAACUGAGACACGGUCCAGACUCCUACGGGAGGCAGCAGUGGGGAAUAGUGGACAAUGGGCGCAAGCCUGAUCCAGCCAUACCGCGUGGGUGAAGAAGGCCUUCGGGUUGUAAAGCCCUUUUGUUGGGAAAGAAAAGCAGCAGGUUAAUACCCCGCUGUUCUGACGGUACCCAAAGAAUAAGCACCGGCUAACUUCGUG
rnacentral:rRNA from 1 species